AAGAAACCAGAGUGGAAAGGUUCUUUUGGUGGUUUUAAGAUCAACAUCAAUCCAGAUGGAACCUAUUCAAUUAGUGUAAAAAAUGUCACAUGGUUAAACAGUGCGCCUACCUUCUUCCAUGCUGAUGGACUACGCCAUGAAGCGGGCAUUGAUCUAAAAUUAACGAAUAUAACCAGUAAUGAUGGCUCCGACAAACUUGGACAUUGGACAAGGACCAAUUUUUAUUAUCUUGCUGGAGCUGCUCAGAUCGUUGCCUCCAUAAAGACCUAUAUUAAUGAAUCAAUUCCUUUGGUUCUCUUUAGUCAGCACUAUGUUAAUGGUGCCAGUUUCACUACUACUAUAGAUAAAGAUUUUACUAUUUCUUCUUUUCCUGGAUUUAAAAUAGAGAGAACAAAAUUACCAUUAGGUUUCUUGUCAUAUGGUGGAAUUAUGUUUGGAGACACAGAGAAAAAAAUAGGAAACUGGAGUUAUGACGGUCUUAAAAUAAAUUCUGGUAUUAAAGGGGGACCACUGGCUUUGUUCGAUUCUUCUGGGAACACGGUCAUUAUUUCCACGGCUAACAACUUCAUGUCGACGUCUGUUUGGCAAGAGGAUUUACGAGAGCUUGGAGGUGCUGUUCACUGGGGAACUAUGGGUAGAGUAAAUACAGUUCCGACUGGUCAUACUGUAGAUACAGUGAUAUUUUAUCACAAUGAAGGA